rnacentral:rRNA from 1 species
GAUAGUUACCUGGUUGAUUCUGCCAGUAGUCAUAUGCUUGUCUCA